CCUAUAUAAAUUCAUGUUUGCUAAACUUUAAAACAUAUUCUAGUGUUUCACAAGCCCAUGCAAUUAGGAUAAACCCCAUGUACCUUAGAUUAUAAGUUUUGAAAGAUGGAACUCAGAUCUUGAUUCAUUUCUUAGAAUUCUUGAUCUUAGGGAUGAAUUCUAGAUCUUUGGGGAUGAGUUAGGGUUUUGAUUUGAGAGGAAAAUUGAAUUAUAGAGUGUAUUAUGGUUUUUGGGGAAAAAAUCUUAUGUUAUAGAUGGAUUUGGGGUG
rnacentral:lncRNA from 1 species